rnacentral:rRNA from 1 species
AUUGAACGCUGGCGGCAUGCCUAACACAUGCAAGUCGAACGAAUGGAGGACGGGUGAGUAAUGGAUGGGCAACUGCCUGAUGGAGGGAGAUAACUACUGGAAACGGUAGCUAAUACCGCAUACGGUCAGAUCGGCCCAGAUUGGAUUAGCUGGUUGGUGGGGUAACGGCUCACCAAGGGGACGAUCCCUAGCUGGUCUGAGAGGAUGACCAGCCACACUGGGACUGAGACACGGUCCAGACUCCUACGGGAGGCAGCAGUGGGGAAUAUUGGACAAUGGGCGAAAGCCUGACGCAGCCAUGCCGCGUGUAUGAAGAAGGCCUUCGGGUUGUAAAGCACUUUCAGCGGGGAGGCGUUACCCGCAGAAGAAGCACCGGCUAACUCCGUGCCAGCAGCCGCGGUAAUUC